rnacentral:rRNA from 1 species
UACGGAGGGGGCGAGCGUUAUUCGGAAUCACUGGGCGUAAAGGGUGCGUAGGCGGGUCUUUAAGUCAGGGGUGAAAUCCUGGAGCUCAACUCCAGAACUGCCUUUGAUACUGAAUAUCUUGAGUUCGGGAGAGGUGAGUGGAACUGCGAGUGUAGAGGUGAAAUUCGUAGAUAUUCGCAAGAACACCAGUGGCGAAGGCGGCUCACUGGCCCGAUACUGACGCUGAGGCACGAAAGCGUGGGGAGCAAACAGG